rnacentral:rRNA from 1 species
UACGAAGGGUGCAAGCGUUACUCGGAAUUACUGGGCGUAAAGCGUGCGUAGGUGGUUGUUUAAGUCUGCUGUGAAAGCCCUGGCUCAACCUGGGAAUUGCAGUGGAUACUGGGCGACUAGAGUGUGGUAGAGGAUAGUGGAAUUUCAGGUGUAGCGGUGAAAUGCGUAGAUAUCUGAAGGAACAUCAGUGGCGAAAGCGACUUCCUGGACCAAUACUGACGCUCAU